CUGGGUUCUGGUCAAGAAAUUUGUGCGAAAACACACCCUGGAACCAAGAUUUGACGGACCGUUCCAAGUUCUCCUGAUCUCCCCUACCUCUGUCAAAUUGGCCGGAAGGCCUAACUGGAUUCACGCUUCCCAUUGCAAGAAGACACCUGCCCCAGAGGAAGCUAACUCUAUGCAACCAUGUGCCUCUGGUACAUUAUCUCCUUAGUUGGCCUCCUUAAAGCCCAGCAGGUGGCCAUCACCAAAGAUGCUAGUGGGUACACUUUCUGGUAUAAUUCAUCAUGUACCCAUGUGGCUACAUUCCCUUUUGAUUACUGUGAUAUUGUAGAGUGCCCAUUCCCUAAGUCACAGAUUCAAGCCAUUUAUAAAGAUAUACCACAAGCAAAAGACCCUUACGUUUGUGUAGUAGAUGAACAAUGG